AUUGAACGCUAGCGGGAUGCUUUACACAUGCAAGUCGAACGGAGUGGCGAACGGGUGAGUAAUGUAUCGGAACGUGCCCAGUAGCGGGGGCUAACUACGCGAAAGCGUAGCUAAUACCGCAUACUCUUGGAGCGGACGCUAUAGGAUUAGCUAGUUGGGGAGGUAACGGCUCACAAAGGCGACGAUCCGUCGCUGGUUUGAGAGGACGACCAGCCACACUGGGACUGAGACACGGCCCAGACUCCUACGGGAGGCAGCAGUGGGGAAUUUUGGACAAUGGGGGCAACCCUGAUCCAGCCAUCCCGCGUGUGCGAUGAAGGCCUUCGGGUUGUAAAGCACUUUUGGCAGGAAAGCGGUACCUGCAGAAUAAGCACCGGCUAACUACGUGCCAGCAGCCGCGGUAAUAC
rnacentral:rRNA from 1 species